CAAAAUAAAAAGAGCAAUGUCAAUAUAAUCAAGUACAUAAAAGCUUGUCAACUAAAAUACAUUCAGUUAAUACGGUGACAUCAAACAUCAAGUUAAAUAGCUGUAUUUAAUUACUGGGAUAGAUGUCUUUAAAUACCAGAAUCCACAGAUAUGUUAGGAAAACUCUCCUGGAGUAUUAAGAUCAUAAGCAGUAAAGAAAAACUGGAGCUUAUGGAUGAUGGGUGUUUACAACUUGUCACUUUAAAGGAAACAACGUGUAGAGCUUUUUUUUUUUCCUUUUUCAAAUUUUCCAUUAUGGUUUAUUACAGGAUAUUGGAUAUAGUUUCCCAGUGUGUACAGCUCUGUAGCACUGGCCACUGAUUUGAAGUUUCCCAAGAAUUUCAACUAUGAGGAAUGGAAAAGAAAGUGACAAGAAAAGAUGCUAGGUACGAAGUCUGACUCCAUGAAAAUACUUUCUUAGUGUCUUGGAACCUGGUUUUACAACAAGGCCACGGGCCCGAAUGAUCUCCACCUCCAACUGUCCCUUUUUGUCCAUCAUUCCUACCUGAAUGUCACCUAGGGCGAGGAAGAAACAAAGAGGCCUUAACAUACAAAAACGGAGACGGGAUUAAGACGGCGGAAGAGAAGGACUGGAGCUCA